rnacentral:tRNA from 1 species
GCCAUAGCUCAGUGGUAGAGCACCUAAUUCACAUGUAUGAGGCCCUGGGUUCGAUUCUCAGCACUGCA